CGGAAGGUUAAUUGAUGGGGUCAGCCGCAAGGCGAAGCUCUUGAUCGAAGCCCCGGUAAACGGCGGCCGUAACUAUAACGGUCUAAGGUAGCGAAAUUCCUUGUCGGGUAAGUUCCGACUGCACGAAUGGCGUAAUGAUGGCCAGGCUGUCUCCACCCGAGACUCAGUGAAAUUGAACUCGCUGUGAAGAUGCAGUGUACCCGCGGCAAGACGGAAAGACCCCGUGAACCUUUACUAUAGCUUGACACUGAACCUUGAGCCUUGAUGUGUAGGAUAGGUGGGAGGCUUUGAAGUGUGGACGCCAGUCUGCAUGGAGCCAACCUUGAAAUACCACCCUUUAAUGUUUGAUGUUCUAACGUGGACCCGUAAUCCGGGUUGCGGACAGUGUCUGGUGGGUAGUUUGACUGGGGCGGUCUCCUCCCAAAGCGUAACGGAGGAGCACGAAGGUUAGCUAAUCCUGGUCGGACAUCAGGAGGUUAGUGCAAAGGCAUAAGCUAGCUUGACUGCGAGAGUGACAGCUCGAGCAGGUGCGAAAGCAGGUCUUAGUGAUCCGGUGGUUCUGAAUGGAAGGGCCAUCGCUCAACGGAUAAAAGGUACUCCGGGGAUAACAGGCUGAUACCGCCCAAGAGUUCAUAUCGACGGCGGUGUUUGGCACCUCGAUGUCGGCUCAUCACAUCCUGGGGCUGAAGUAGGUCCCAAGGGUAUGGCUGUUCGCCAUUUAAAGUGGUACGCGAGCUGGGUUUAGAACGUCGUGAGACAGUUCGGUCCCUAUCUGCCGUGGGCGUUGGAAGAUUGAGAGGGGUUGCUCCUAGUACGAGAGGACCGGAGUGAACGCACCACUGGUGUACGGGUUGUGAUGCCAAUUGCAUUGCCCGGUAGCUAAGUGCGGAAGAGAUAACCGCUGAAAGCAUCUAAGCGGGAAACUUGCCUCGAGAUGAGUCUUCCCUGGGCACUUGAUGCCCCUGAAGGGCCGUUGAAGACGACGACGUAGAUAGGCUGGGUGUGUAAGCGUAGCGAUACGUUGAGCUAACCAGUACUAAUGACCCGAGAGGCUUAACCUUACAACACC
rnacentral:rRNA from 2 species